AAUAUUGCACAAUGGGGGAAACCCUGAUGCAGCGACGCCGCGUGAGUGAAGAAGUAUUUCGGUAUGUAAAACUCUAUCAGCAGGGAAGAAAAUGACGGUACCUGACUAAGAAGCACCGGCUAAAUACGUGCCAGCAGCCGCGGUAAUACGUAUGGUGCAAGCGUUAUCCGGAUUUACUGGGUGUAAAGGGAGUGUAGGUGGCAAGGCAAGUCAGAAGUGAAAGCCCGGGGCUCAACCCCGGGACUGCUUUUGAAACUGCUUUGCUAGAGUGCAGGAGAGGUAAGUGGAAUUCCUAGUGUAGCGGUGAAAUGCGUAGAUAUGUGGAGGAAUACCGAUGGCGAAGGCAGCCCCCUGGGAUAAUACUGACGCUCAGACACGAAAGCGUGGGGAGCAAACAG
rnacentral:rRNA from 1 species